UACGUAGGGUCCGAGCGUUAUCCGGAAUCACUGGGCGUAAAGCGUGCGUAGGCGGCUUGUUAAGUGAGAUGUUAAAGCGUGUGGCUCAACCAUAUCGUUGUGUCUCAUACUGGCAGGCUAGAGGAAGGCAGAGGCAAGUGGAAUUGGCAGUGUAGCAGUGAAAUGCGUAGAGAUUGCCAGGAACACCAAUGGCGAAGGCAGCUUGCUGGGCCUUUUCUGACGCUGAGGUACGAAAGCGUGGGGAGCGAACAGG
rnacentral:rRNA from 1 species